rnacentral:tRNA from 1 species
GCCUGGGUGGCUCAAUUGGUUAAGCAUCUGACUUCAACUCAGGUCAUGAUCUUGCGGUUGGUGAGUUCGAGCCCCACGCCAGGCU